rnacentral:rRNA from 1 species
AAAUGGUUUUUCGCAUAAGGAGCGGUUUAUGGCCUAUCAGGUAGUUGGUGAGGUAAUGGCCUACCAAGGCGACGACGGGUAGCGGGUCUGAGAGGACGAUCCGCUCGAGUGGGACUGAGACACGGCCCACACACCUACGGGUGGCAGCAGUUGGGAAUCUUGCACAAUGGGGGAAACCCUGAUGCAGCGACGCCGCGUGGAGGAUGAAGGAUCUAGGUCUGUAAACUCCUUUUGCCGGGAAAGACUUAGGACGGUACCCUGAGAAUAAGCACCGGCUAACUACGUGCCAGCAGCCGCGGUAAGACGUAGGGUGCAAGCGUUGUCCGGAUUUACUGGGCGUAAAGAGCGCGUAGGCGGUCUGUUAAGUGUGAGGUGAAAUCUCCAGAGCUCAACCCGGAAACUGCUUCUCAUACCGGCAGACUAGAGGAGUGCAGAGGUUAGUGGAAUUCCUGGUGUAGCGGUGACAUGCAUAGAUAUCAGGAGGAACACCCAUGGCGAAGGCAGCUUACUGGGCAUUAUCUGACGCUGAGGCGCGAAAGCGUGGGGAGCAAACAGGAUUAGAUACUCUGGUAGUCCACGCCCUAAACGAUGGAUACUAGGCGUAAGAGGUAUCGACCCCUCUUGUGCCGCAGCUAACGCACUAAGUAUCCCGCCUGGGGAGUACGGCCGCAAGGUUGAAACUCAAAUGAAUUGACGGGACCCCGCACAAGCGGUGGAGCAUGUGGAUUAAUUCGAUACUAACCGAAGAACCUUACCCAGUUUG